GACGAACGCUGGCGGCGUGCUUAACACAUGCAAGUCGAACGAUGAAGCUGGAGCUUGCUCUGGUGGAUUAGUGGCGAACGGGUGAGUAACACGUGAGUAACCUGCCCUGGACUCUGGGAUAACCCCGAGAAAUCGGAGCUAAUACCGGAUAGGACCUCGGACCGCAUGAUCUGUGGUGGACAGUUUUUCGGUCUGGGAUGGACUCGCGGCCUAUCAGCUUGUUGGUGAGGUAAUGGCUCACCAAGGCGUCGACGGGUAGCCGGCCUGAGAGGGUGACCGGCCACACUGGGACUGAGACACGGCCCAGACUCCUACGGGAGGGAGCAGUGGGGAAUAUUGCACAAUGGGCGCAAGGCUGAUGCAGCAACGCCGCGUGCGGGAUGACGGCCUUCGGGUUGUAAACCGCUUUUAGUAAGGAAGAAGCCGCAAGGUGACGGUACUUGCAGAAAAAGGACCGGCUAACUACGUGCCAGCCGCCGCUGUAACAC
rnacentral:rRNA from 1 species